rnacentral:rRNA from 1 species
GAUGAACGCUGGCGGCGUGCUUAACACAUGCAAGUCGAACGAUGAAGCCCAGCUUGCUGGGUGGAUUAGUGGCGAACGGGUGAGUAACACGUGAGUAACCUGCCCUUAACUCUGGGAUAAGCCUGGGAAACUGGGUCUAAUACCGAAUAGGAGCGUCCACCGCAUGGUGGGUGUUGGAAAGAUUUAUCGGUUUUGGAUGGACUCGCGGCCUAUCAGCUUGUUGGUGAGGUAAUGGCUCACCAAGGCGACGACGGGUAGCCGGCCUGAGAGGGUGACCGGCCACACUGGGACUGAGACACGGCCCAGACUCCUACGGGAGGCAGCAGUGGGGAAUAUUGCACAAUGGGCGCAAGCCUGAUGCAGCGACGCCGCGUGAGGGAUGACGGCCUUCGGGUUGUAAACCUCUUUCAGUAGGGAAGAAGCGAAAGUGACGGUACCUGCAGAAGAAGCACCGGCUAACUACGUG